rnacentral:rRNA from 1 species
UACGUAGGGGGCAAGCGUUGUCCGGAAUCAUUGGGCGUAAAGCGCGUGUAGGCGGCCUUGUAAGUCCGUUCUGAAAGCCCGGGGCUCAACCCCGGGAGGCGGAUGGAUACUGCAAGGCUCGAGUACGGAAGAGGCGAGUGGAAUUCCCGGUGUAGCGGUGAAAUGCGCAGAUAUCAGGAGGAACGCCGGUGGCGAAGGCGGGUCUCUGGGCCGAUACUGACGCUGAGGAGCGAAAGCGUGGGGAGCGAACAGG